rnacentral:lncRNA from 1 species
UUCUUUUUCCUCGUCUUGCACUCUCGGAUCCCUCAAGAUAAAACGCUACUCCGACCCCCAUCAUCCGAUCGAAGAAAACAAAGCUACCACGAUCGCCAUGUCAUCAUCUUCUCUCUCGAUCGACGUCGCUACUAGGUCGAUAGCCCUGCGAAUCCCCACACCCAAGCAACCCGCUUCCGCCCUUCUUCCGAUCGGUUGGUAUACUCCUGCGUUGUUUCUAGGGUUUCGAUCUCGGUUCCUUUUUCCAGGGAGACAAAUCUUGACGCGUGUUUCCGGCGACUGGGACAGAUUAAGCUUGUACAGCCUUGAAGGCCUCCGCUAUAUGCGUGGGAGGAUUUCGAUUGAUUUUGCCACAUUGGUGAGCUUUCCUAAUCCUGAUUCCUUGAACUAUCCACAACGUGAUUUCUUUCUUUUGUGUUAUUGACUAAAUGUUAGAUCAAAUAGAUAUCACGCAUGUGUUUACUCAUUAGAAAGUAUAAUCCUGGAUAUUUGCUGAUUCAGUCUCCUGUGGUGAAUGGUUGUUAUUGAUAGCAGGGAAAUCUUCUCCUCUAACCUGUAUUAAUAGUAAUCAUGUCAAUAAACUUUGAUCAAGCUUUGUAAUCACGUUUCAAUUUAUCAUAGUAUCAUAGCUUGAUCAAGGUUUAAGGUUUAUUGACAUGAUUACUAUUUAUAGAAGAGAAGAUUUCUCUCAACAGAUCAACGAGAUUUUCUCGGGAAAUCUUAUCUGCUAUAAGUUAUAGUUGAUGUUACAUAUGAUGUUGUCGAUUAGCGUAACUGUGUGCUUAAAAAUCUGUAGUACUAUGUAACAAUUGGACUAUACUACUCUCUUAACCACAUUUUUGCUGCAACAUUUAUAGGUAACUACUUGUCCACAUUAAUAUGAGUAAAUAGUAGACACCAUCUUUGCUGUCAUCGUCUUUCAAUUAAUCGGAGUGACUAUUAGCCACAUCUGUUUAUGUCAGUAACUUCCAGUUUUUAGAUUUAGUUUUCUUAAGGCGAAGUGCCAAAGGUAUAACAUGGUUUUGCGAUCAAAUCUUGUAUGCUGUGGAUGACAUAUAGUCGGAUCGUUAUGGAAAUAAUAUAGGUUGAUUUUUUAGUGAGACUAUGGAGAAAUUCAUGGGAAAUUUAGUAUAACAUGUAAGAAUAUUGGGAGACAAAUAAUAUAAGGUUGAUGUCGAAAAUUUUUUAUGCUGUUGCCUACUUCUCUACCCAUCAUUAUGAACAUAUAUGAAAUAAUAUAUCAAUAGAUAACAUAUGCAAGAUACAUCAAGAUGUGUGGAUGAAGUAACAGAUGAUGCUUAAUGAUAUUAUAUGAUUCUUUUACAUAUUGGUAUUUGAGCAGGACCUUCUUGCAUAAGCAAAUUGCAAAAUACUUGAUUAUGAAGAAGAUGCAAUCAUAUGAGAUCAAAAUUUGGAAGAUACGUAAGAUGAAGAAAAUAUGUCAUAAAUCUAAAAUGUUUAAGCUCAGCAAAAAGCAUCUGAGAGGAGGCUAAGUUAUUACUAGUAUGGAUUCUACUGGUGUAGGAUUACUCAUGAAUGGUAUAGGCAGGUGGGAUAUUGAUAUGACUGAUGAGGCAUCGCUACGAGAGGUGCAUUCGAGCACCAAAGGUGGAAAUGAUAUUGGAGAUAACAUAGAUAAACCAUGUGUGGUUUAUAGGUGGUCUUAGCUAAGAAUGGCUGAUGCACAACCUUGCAUAUUCGGCACUUUUUGUUUAUGAAUAUAGUUAGAGCUUUAAGCGCAUUAGUUUGUAUCGGUGAAUCAUCAUAAUUUUGAAAGGACUGUAGGGAUAUUGGACAAACGCAACUAAUAUGCUGACUGAAUUCUAAAAUUUGUAUCUGUUUUUGGCUGAACUAAAUUAUGGAAAUGAGUCGACAGGGUGUGAUGCGUGUGAUGCACCUUUGGGUAUAAAUAGAAUGAUUGAGACCAAAUUUAUAUUGAAUUUGAGACUAAAAUUUACUACUGACUUAAAUAUCAGUUGUAUAUGACAUUCCAUCUCAUUUAUUGGAAUUGUCAUAAAGAAUGGAUGAAGUGAUACUUAACUUCUGCUUGUUCGAGAUUGUAUUGCAUGGGUAUUGCAAUAACAUGACUUUUGCUCUCUUCUACUACUAUCGGUCUUCAAAUGUUUAUGUGUACAAGAAUUAAGAGGAGUUAACAUGGUAUCUCCAGCUAAUAAUCACCUGAACAGGCAGCUCCCAACUAUAUAUAUGUCUAAAUAAAAAAGAUAAUUCUCAAUAGGUGUUGAUAAACAGAAUACAUAAUUAUCUGAGGUUAUUGUACCUAUCCUUUUGGUUGUUGAAUAUAUGUUUAUCUUCCUCUACAAGGUCAUAUGUAUCUUCUUUCCUUUCAGGAUUGCUGAAACAUUAGUAUUCUAAUUGUCUGAUGCAUGAUAUUUAGUACAAACAAGUAAUGGAGCAGGUAUAUCUUUACCAAUAUGGACACGAGAUGCUUGUGGAUGUCCUUAGCUUAGUGGUAUGCCAUCGUCACCAGCUUAUUCUGCAAUAGUUAUAGAUUCUUCAAUGUUAAAUUCAAUUGAAUAUGAUUUCAGCGUUUGAUGCGAUGUUGAGGUUGUUAAUGCACAAUGCACGUCAAAGUGCUGUUGUUCUUAGUACCACCUUGUUGGAGUGAAAGUCUACCCAUGUUUCAGUAAAUGGUGAUGCGCCUUCUUAUCGGCAUGGGCGUUGUAAAUAUGAGGAAGAUGUCAUAAUUCUAGUCAACUAGUGCUUGAUGAAUAGAUAGUUGAAACCGGGCUCACCUGAUGUGAUGUGUCCAUUCAUCCACGGACAGGGAAGACGCUUUUGAGUAAAGGAAAAGGACUCUUAUGAGUCCUGCAAGUUAUAUAUGGGUUGGGCGUGGGGAUGAGCAUUCGGAUACAAAUAUUGACGAGAUAAGUCUAAAAUGUAGAAAGAAUCAUGCGGAUCCCCUGUCGUCUGUGUACGGAAUCACACAACUGGGUCCCGCCGCGAUCCCCAAAUGACAUGCGUCAUUGGAGGAUGUGGCACUCUCC